CUCCCACCACCACUACAAGAUUAUUUUUCCAGUCGGAAGUCAGUUAUAACAUAAAGUCCGCGCGUACAUGUAAUACAUGUAUAUUAUUUUUUCAUUCUGCUUCGCAUAUGUGCUCAUACUUUAUAGAUAUGCUAUUGAACAAAACUUUUUUUGUAUAAAAAAUCAAAUCAGUGUCAAACAUUUAAAUAAUAAUUUAUAAUCAUUAAUAUUAUUUAUACGACUAUCACGGAGUAAUCUCAAUUUUACGUAUUAAAAAAUUGAUUUUGGGGUUAAGUAUAAGUCAAUACUAAAAUACAGUGGAAAGUAUCUAAGCAUUGAAAAAUAAUCUUAUAGAAAUUAGAAUGACUCAAAAUUUCCAAAUUGAUUAUACUUGGAAAUUAUCAUAUAUUUGGCCGAUAAAGGACGAAGAGGAAUCAUCAGAGUUUUUCACGUUGCCAAAUUACGAUAAAAUUUUUUUUUCAAUUUUCUAUAGAGAUAUGAAAGAUAACUAUAAUACCUAUGAGAUUCGAGUAAAAAAAAAUGGAAUUUUUAAUCCUCCUAAAACUAAUGUAACCAUAAAAUUAUUUGGUGAAACUAAAACUCAGGCAAUCAAGAAUUGGCAAAAUCAUGAUGUUGUCAAAUUCUGUUUUAAUUCCUCUAGAUCGAUUUGCAAUGUUAGGUGUGAUAUACUGAUGGAUAGAAUAGAUUUUGAUGAAACUGAUGGAGAAACAUUAUCCUCAUGUUCAGCCCAUUGCAUGGAUAACUACUUAUUGUCAUCAUUGUUGAGCGAUGUAAUAAUUAAAAUUAAAGAUAAUACAGAACAAUUACCAGCUCAUAAACUUAUACUUGCUUCACGUAGCUCUGUUUUCGAGAGAAUGUUCAAUACGGAUAUGAAAGAAGCUAAAGAGAAUUGUAUUUGUUUUGAUGGAUUUGAUAUUGAUACCAUCAAAGAAGUUCUCAAAUUCAUGUAUACUGGCAAAAUUGAAGCAGAAAAUGAUUCUGACGUUCUUCUUAAAGUAUUAGCUUGUGCGCAAAUGUAUCAAAUUGAAAAAUUAAAAACUUAUUGUGAAUACAAACUGAUACAGAGUUUAAGUGUCGACAAUGUCAUUAAAAUUUUAAUCGAAACUGAUAAUUUCGAUGUACUCAAGUUGAAUGAAAAAGCAUUAUUGUAUAUAACUCUUAACAAAACUCGUAUAUCAUUUGCUGAUGCGUUAAAAGAAUUGAAUAAUUCAAAAGUUUUGUUAAAGUUUUUUGUUCAACAAACAGAAAUGAAAACAAAUUAAUAUUUUAAAAUUUAUGUCGCGUUAUUAAUUCCAAAAGGGCUUACAUUUUUAUACGCCGUUUCGUCUUUAAAGAGCUUCCUAAAGCCAAAAAGACGUUCGAUUUUUUUUCAUUGCCAAUCGUUUGGUAGACUUAGUUUAGAGCUAAAAAUUAAAAAAAAAUUUAAAAGCCCUUUUGGUUUUCAAACUUUUUUUUCAAUUUUGAGCUUUAAAAUAAGUCUCCAAAGUGAUCUGUAAUGAAAAAAAAAAAAAAAAUCAUACGUUCUUUUAGCUCCAGGAGACUCCUAAAAGCUAAAAGAGCUUAUAAAAAUAUGUCCUUUUGGAAUUAAUAACACGAAAUUUUGCUACUGCAGUAUAGUAAGGUCCAGAAAUAUUAAAAGCUUAAGAAUUUUCUCUUCAUAAUUAAUCUCUGGAACUAAAAAGAGAAUAACUAUAAAUUACUUUUAUAUAUUUAAAAAAAUAUGAUAAUGAAAAUGUUUCUAAAACAAAAAAAUAUUUAAUAUUAAAAAAUGUUUUUUAUAAACUCAAUAAAACUCACAAUAGAUUAUUGUUCCUUAAUCAAAGUUUCGUAUAUUUUUAUCUAUAAUAAUAAUAAUAAUAAUAAUAAUAAUAAUAAUAAUAAUAAUAAUAAUAAUAAUAUUUUAUCAAUAAUUUUACCCACCUAUUUAUUUACCAUUGGGAAUCCCCCGUAUAUUAAACUUAAUAUUUAAAAAACAGUAAGGCUUUGACCAUUACUGCUCUCUAUAUUAACACGUAAGAACUAAAAAUAAAAACAACUUCGAAUCUCGGCUGAUAACCUUUACGUCUUUCGUAAAUAAACAAAAAUAUCAGAUGUCAAUAUUUAAUAAUCACCAAAAUUACCCUUGACUUUUAAAAAUUUAACGAUGAACGAAAAAAGCUCCGAUAAAUCUAUCACAUUUAUAUACAAAUGGCAAAUACAACCCAUCAACGGAGAAGAAGGAUUCAGAAGUGACUGGAUAGAGUCUGACAGUUUCGGUCUGUUUGACAACUCAGCCGAGCAUUUAUUUCGCAUAUUAUCGCGAUAUCACAUAAAUGACUACUCGUACGAAGUCAAUAUAAAAGUCAAAAAAAGGGGAUUUCCCUUUCAUGGUAAAACUGACAUAGAGAUAAGAUAUAAAAACGUCGCCAAGAAUAUGACCAUGAUAAAGUGGAACGGCGAUUUGAGUGAUACUUUGACGUUCCUUGUUUCUAAAAGCUGCUCAUUCCCCUGGCAUCUCCAUUGUAAAAUAACUUUGCAUAAACUAGACUCCGAUAUUAAAAGUAUAAUGCAUUCUUCCAUGCUGGCGAAUCAUGCUGAUGAUUAUCUUCUUUCCUCAGAGCUGAGUGACGUCAUUGUCAAAGUCGAAAACGAAGAGUUUCCGGCCCACAAACUGGUACUUGCGUCCCAUAGUCCCGUUUUCAGGAGAAUGUUCAGCACAGACAUGAAAGAAGCCAAAGAAAAUUGUGUUAAUUUUAAAAACUUUGAGACCGAAGUAAUAAAAGAGGUUUUGAAAUUUAUCUACACAGGAAAAGUCGAGGCGGAAGAUGAUACUGAGCUGGUUCUUAGUGUCUUGGCCUGCGCUAACAUGUACCAGAUAGACAAAUUAAAAAUUUUCUGCGAGUGUAAACUAAUUGAAAAUAUUAAUCUCGAUAAUGUCAUUAAUCUUCUUGUCAAAACUGACAACUACGAGGUCCCCAGACUGAAAGAAAGAGCGAUGAAGUUUUUGGUGAAUAAUAAAGCCAACAUUUCUUUUGAUGAUGCGAUAAAUCAAGUGAGCAAUUCUAAAAUAAUACGAGAGUUUUUUAUAAGCCAGAUGGGAAUGAAAUGUGACUAAUUGUUGUUGAUAAUUAAUUUUUUUUAAACUGUAAAUAUGAUACUUUAGUUUAUAUGAGACCAUUUUUUAUAUAAUUAAUUUUUUAUUUUAAUAAAUAAAUAAAAAAAUAAUUAUCUGAUAAAUUAUUUAAAUCAUACUCUGAAUGCUGACGUCAAAUUCAUUUAUCAGCAUUUUAAUGUCAAUAAAAAAAUAUAAACAUUCAAUAAAUGUUAAUAUUUACAACUUA